rnacentral:rRNA from 1 species
CCCGCACAAGCGAGGAGCAUGUGGUUUAAUUCGAUGAUACGCGAGGAACCUUACCUGGGCUCGAACGUAAGAUGACUGUAGGUGAAAGCUUACAUCUCUUCGGAGCAUUUUACGAGGUGCUGCAUGGUUGUCGUCAGCUCGUGCCGUGAGGUGUCGGGUUAAGUCCCGCAACGAGCGCAACCCCUGCAUUCAGUUGCCAUCGGGUAAUGCCGGGCACUCUGGAAGGACUGCCAUCGACAAAAUGGAGGAAGGUGGGGAUGACGUCAAGUCAUCAUGGCCCUUAUGUCCAGGGCGACACACGUGCUACAAUGGCCGGCACAACGGGAAGCGAGUUCGCGAGGACGAGCGGAUCCCUCAAAGCCGGUCGCAGUUCGGAUUGAAGUCUGCAACUCGACUUCAUGAAGCUGGAAUCGCUAGUAAUCGUGGAUCAGCCAAGCCGCGGUGAAUACGUUCCCGGGCCUU